GCUACCUGAUUCAGCGGCGGACGGGUGAGUAAUGCCUAGGAAUCUGCCCGAUAGUGGGGGACAACGUUUCGAAAGGAACGCUAAUACCGCAUACGUCCUACGGGAGAAAGUGGGGGAUCUUCGGACCUCACGCUAUCGGAUGAGCCUAGGUCGGAUUAGCUAGUUGGUGAGGUAAUGGCUCACCAAGGCGACGAUCCGUAACUGGUCUGAGAGGAUGAUCAGUCACACUGGAACUGAGACACGGUCCAGACUCCUACGGGAGGCAGCAGUGGGGAAUAUUGGACAAUGGGCGAAAGCCUGAUCCAGCCAUGCCGCGUGUGUGAAGAAGGUCUUCGGAUUGUAAAGCACUUUAAGUUGGGAGGAAGGGCAGUAAGCUAAUACCUUGCUGUUUUGACGUUACCAACAGAAUAAGCACCGGCUAACUUCGUGCCAGCAGCCGCGGUAAUACGAAGGGUGCAAGCGUUAAUCGGAAUUACUGGGCGUAAAGCGCGCGUAGGUGGUUCAGCAAGUUGGAUGUGAAAUCCCCGGGCUCAACCUGGGAACUGCAUCCAAAACUACUGAGCUAGAGUACGGUAGAGGGUGGUGGAAUUUCCUGUGUAG
rnacentral:rRNA from 1 species